CGAAAGCCGCAUACUUCGGCCAGUCCUGACUUGCUCGCCGCUUCCAAACCUCUUAUUUUUAUAGUGGUUAUUACACUAAGCACAGUCAAGCCUAAGGCAGACCACCUCUCCAGCUCUGCACUGCGGUUACAGGGAAGGGGCACCUCCCAUGCCCCAGGCUUCCACUAAAAUGUUCCUGCCCUGCCACUGCCUUUGAGGGACCAAAUGGACUCCUAGGACCCCGGUCCAGACCUGACAUUGGGGUGACGACCCCCAUCAAGUGUGCUGGAGGCACUUAGGCCAGAACACGAACAGUAGCUGACCAGGGGAGGCAGGAGGCAGAAGGCGGAGUGUGACAUGGAAGGCCACGGGCAGCCACCAGAACCGCUUCUCCUCUGAGAAGACCAGUGUGGUCGACGGGAGGGGCCAGGACUCUCCUCUGUUGGCCGCUGACCCCAUGGAAGGCUGGACAGAGAGAAAUUCUGUGCCCGCCAAAGAGAAAGUCAGAGCCAACCAGACAGGCGAUGACUCCCUCCCUCAAGUCCCACCCACGAACUUCCCCGAAUUCCUCCAGUGUCCUUUGCCGGAAGCAUGAUGGCCUCACACACUUGGGAACUGGCCAUCAGACGUGCACGGCAAGGCUGAGCACAGAGCGCUUAGCCUUCAGGCGGUACGCCCAGCCCCCUCCCAAGUUCCGUGUGUCUACACUGACUGCAUGGCUCCCCUCCCUCUGCACACACAG